CCUUUCUUUGCAUGGGGGCGAACGAAUUCGCUCCAAAUGCCGAUGGAGAAGUCCAGCGCUGAUCCCACAGGAGCCUGGCCUGGCAGGGAUAAAUUCUGGCUUCAUCCUACACUGAUUUAGCCCACAGAUUUGUGGGAGGAAACCGAAGCCGCUUUGCCAGGGCUUGGGAGAUGAAAUGGCUCCAGCUCCUGACCGCUGCCUUCCACUCCUAUCUAUCUCCAGCAGCCCUGGGAACAUUGCACUGCACGGGCAGCCGGCGGCAGGGGACAGGUGCCAUGGCUGCCUGGGUCAAAUCCCUUGGGAUGAAGCAGGGCCAACCCGAUGCUCCUUCCUGCCAUCACCACCCGGAUGGUUUGGCACAGGGCAGAAAGGAAAACAGAAAAGGAGAAACCCCACAUUUUUUCAGCUGAAACCACUGAUUCAUCCCAUGGAACUGCCCUGCCUCUCACCCAGCCCCUCCCAGCCAGGGCUGCCCUUCAACCAGACCUUUGCCAAGGCUUUUCCCAGAGCUGCUGGCAUGGUCGUUCCUGUCACCGUGAGGUGAGUGGGAGCACCUCCUGCUUUGAAGCCCCCCAGAGAGUCCUGACCUCAAGGGCUUCCCGCAACCACGUGGGGCAAGAGCCCACCCUUCCUUCCCGCAAGCUUUUCCCACGCUGGGCAGAAAGCAGGACACGGAGGGAUGAUUCACCAUCAUCAUCGUCAUCACCUCCUGAAUCCUUGUGGGGACGGCAUCAACCUCUCGGGUGCCCAAGCCCCCAGCACGGAGGAAGGCCAGGAGGAGAGGGGGCCACAGGAUGUGUAUGGGAGAGAGGAGGGAAUUGUCAGCAAGGAGAUGAUUAAAAAUAUCCACCCUAUUUCUGGCCGGCACCAGGCCGGGAUCUGGGAAGAGCUGUUGGCAAAAGGGAGCCGUGUCGGAGCCGCUCCCAGCGCUGUUCUUUCCGUGCCGGCCACCUUCCUCUCGCUGACACACAGACAGGAAAGCCUUGAGAGGGAGG